CUAUAUAUAAGAAAUAAUCAAUUCUAAAUGAUUCUUCAAGAGAUUUUGUUAUUUCAUUGUCAACAUUCUCAUCAAAUUAUUUCUUUCUGCGAAUGAUACGCGUAUCAUGAAAUUUAGGUUCUAUUUUCAUUUCAAAUGCAAUUUCUUUAGAAGAAAUCAUAGCGGAUGCAAAUCCAUCUUCUUUAUAUUUUUCAAAAAAAGAAAGAAGACCUUUUAAUUGUUCUAUAGCA
rnacentral:lncRNA from 1 species